rnacentral:rRNA from 1 species
UACGGAGGGAGCUAGCGUUGUUCGGAAUUACUGGGCGUAAAGCGCGCGUAGGCGGCUUUGUAAGUUAGAGGUGAAAGCCCGGGGCUCAACCCCGGAAUUGCCUUUAAGACUGCAUCGCUAGAAUCCGGGAGAGGUGAGUGGAAUUCCGAGUGUAGAGGUGAAAUUCGUAGAUAUUCGGAAGAACACCAGUGGCGAAGGCG